UUUAACUUAAAAUAUAUAAGUAUUAUGUAUAUAGCUUUCGGUAUAUCUGUUUUAUUGCAGUUUUUUACACAAUGCUACACAAGCGUUAUGUAAUAUGUAUGGAUCUGGUGUAAAGUUUGGAUUCUCAAAACCUAACAUUUACAGAGCAAUAGUUGAUGUUGUUCUUUUCAAGAACAAAGAGGCUACUACAGCUGAAAUAUGCCAAAUAAUCAUGCUUCAACUAAAACAUGCGCCUCGGCGAUCCAAUGGUGGAGGAUCGAUUAUUCGCAAGUUUCCUAAUGAAGAAUAAUCGUUGUCAGAGAUGCUUUUUUAUGCUGAUUUUUAUGUAUAGCUUUGCUGCUAAAAGUAAUUUAAAAA